UGGAUGACCUGCCCUACAGCGGGGAAUAACCCGGGGGAAACUCGGGCUAAUACCGCAUACGACCGAGAGGUGAAAGGGGGCCGCAAGGCUCUCACUGAAGGAGGGUCCGCGUUCGAUUAGCUAGUUGGUAGGGUAAUGGCCUACCAAGGCGACGAUCGAUAGCCGGCCUGAGAGGGUGAUCGGCCACACUGGAACUGAGACACGGUCCAGACUCCUACGGGAGGCAG
rnacentral:rRNA from 1 species